GGUCACUCCUACGGGAGGCAGCAGUGGGGAAUAUUGCACAAUGGGCGCAAGCCUGAUGCAGCCAUGCCGCGUGUAUGAAGAAGGCCUUCGGGUUGUAAAGUACUUUCAGCAGUGAGGAAGGUGGAGUCGUUAAUAGCGGCCUCAUUUGACGUUAGCUGCAGAAGAAGCACCGGCUAACUCCGUGCCAGCAGCCGCGGUAAUACGGAGGGUGCGAGCGUUAAUCGGAAUUACUGGGCGUAAAGCGCAUGCAGGUGGUUUGUUAAGUCAGAUGUGAAAGCCCGGGGCUCAACCUCGGAAUUGCAUUUGAAACUGGCAGACUAGAGUACUGUAGAGGGGGUAGAAUUUCAGGUGUAGCGGUGAAAAUGCGUAGAGAUCUGAAGGAAUACCGGUGGCGAAGGCGGCCCCCUGGACAGAUACUGACACUCAGAUGCGAAAGCGUGGGGAGCAAACAGGAUUAGAUACCCUGGUAG
rnacentral:rRNA from 1 species